rnacentral:rRNA from 1 species
UGGGGAAUUUUGGACAAUGGGCGCAAGCCUGAUCCAGCCAUGCCGCGUGCGGGAAGAAGGCCUUCGGGUUGUAAACCGCUUUUGUCAGGGAAGAAAUCUUCUGAGUUAAUACCUCGGGAGGAUGACGGUACCUGAAGAAUAAGCACCGGCUAACUACGUGCCAGCAGCCGCGGUAAUACGUAGGGUGCAAGCGUUAAUCGGAAUUACUGGGCGUAAAGCGUGCGCAGGCGGUUUUGUAAGACAGAGGUGAUNNCAGGUCUGCAACCUGGGAACUGCCUUGUGACUGCAAGGCUUGAGUGCGGCAGAGGGGGAUGGAAUUCCGCGNGUAGCAGUGAAAAUGCGUAGAUAU